rnacentral:misc_RNA from 1 species
ACGGUUAUGCCAUCUUUGGAAGGACGGCUUGGUGACUCCAUAAACAUGUUUGAUCGACGACUGGUGUGGUGAAAAAGCAGGUAGAGGAUAAAGUCCUUUAUAACCGUGACAACUAAGCGGAAUUCUCCACAUGGUAUGAUCCUUGAUAAAGAAAAGUUAGAGUAUAAUUCAAGGAAGGCAAAAUUAUCAUAAGCAUACCUAUGGGCUGAA